rnacentral:rRNA from 1 species
GACGAACGCUGGCGGCGUGCCUAACACAUGCGAGUCGAGCGAAUGAAGUUCCUUCGGGCCUGGAUUUAGCGGCGGACGGGUGAGUAACACGUGGGCAACCUGCCUCAUAGAGGGGAAUAGCCUCCCGAAAGGGAGAUUAAUACCGCAUAAGAUUGUAGUACCGCAUGAUACAGCAAUUAAAGGAGCAAUCCGCUAUGAGAUGGGCCCGCGGCGCAUUAGCUAGUUGGUGAGGUAAUGGCUCACCAAGGCGACGAUGCGUAGCCGACCUGAGAGGGUGAUCGGCCACAGUGGGACUGAGACACGGCCCAGACUCCUACGGGAGGCAGCAGUGGGGAAUAUUGCACAAUGGGGGAAACCCUGAUGCAGCAACGCCGCGUGAGUGAUGACGGCCUUCGGGUUGUAAAGCUCUGUCUUCAGGGACGAUAAUGACGGUACCUGAGGAGGAAGCCACGGCUAACUACGUG